CUCACGCACUGCAUUUUUCUGAUUAAAAUAAAAACAAAAAACAAACCACGAGCACUGCACUCGCUUCCCCACCUUACUUGCUUGCCUGGUUGCUAAAACACAGACCAGUAGAUAGACGAAAUUGGACCGUACUAUUUUUUUAAGUAUAAGAGCUGAACAAUACUUUGUUCAGAAACAAGUUUCUUACAUGUCCAGGCUAAUCACUGCACACUGUGAUGAUUGCAAAGAACAAGUCUAAGCAUGUCAGAUUUAUUGCAAAGCUCGAGGCUUCACUUUGCAAGUUCAGACAUGUUAAGGUUUCAAUCCAAACUAUAUCCUUACCAAGAUACCACUCUGGGUACUUUAAAU